UACGUAGGGGCUAGCGUUAUCCGGAAUUACUGGGCGUAAAGGGUACGUAGGCGGUCUUUCAAGCCAGAAGUGAAAGGCUACGGCUCAACCGUAGUAAGCUUUUGGAACUGUAAGACUUGAGUGCAGGAGAGGAGAGUGGAAUUCCUAGUGUAGCGGUGAAAUGCGUAGAUAUUAGGAGGAACACCAGUAGCGAAAGCGGCUCUCUGGACUGUAACUGACGCUGAGGCACGAAAGCGUGGGGAGCAAACAGGAUUAGAUACCCCCAUAGUCCCUGAG
rnacentral:rRNA from 1 species